ACGCAUCUGUGCAUGCAGCAUAUCAAUAAGCGGAGGAAAAGAAACUAACAAGGAUUCCCCUAGUAACGGCGAGUGAAGCGGGAAGAGCUCAAAUUUGAAAUCUUAAAGGGUUUCCCUUUACGAAUUGUAGUUUAAAGAAGUGUUUUCUGUUGAGGUUUUGGUAAAAGUUCUUUGGAAUAGGACAUCAUAGAGGGUGAGAAUCCCGUAUUUGACCUUUACUUUCAACUUUGUGAUACACUUUCAAAGAGUCGGAUUGUUUGGGAAUGCAGUCCAAAAUGGGUGGUAAAUUUCAUCUAAAGCUAAAUAUUGGCGAGAGACCGAUAGCGAACAAGUACCGUGAGGGAAAGAUGAAAAGAACUUUGAAAAGAGAGUUAAACAGUACGUGAAAUUGUCAAAAGGGAAGCGUUUGACACCAGUGUUGUUUUUCUGAAAAUCAAUUAAAGAACUGUUUAUGCUAAGUUGUUUAGACUUUAUCAGCUAACUGUUUAGUUUUGAGCUUUUCUUUAAUGCACUUUUCAGUUAACAAGUCGACAUCAAUUUCUUUUGCUGUAAAAAAGCUUGAGGAAGGUGGCUUGAGAUUCGUCUUAAGUGUUUAUAGCCUCUUGCCUAUGCAGUCGGAGAGAUUGAGGUCUGCAGCGUAGAUCCUUCGGGGCUAAAUGCAUUUGUGCUAAGUUAUAGCAUUUCAUAGACAACUUGUUGACUAUGAUUUGUCUUGUAGCUUACUCGCUUAUGUUAUUUUACCUACGCUUAGGAUGUUGACAGCAGUAUAGACUGU
rnacentral:rRNA from 1 species